rnacentral:lncRNA from 1 species
GAAGUGGAAUUAUUUGCUCACUUGAGGGUGAUGGUCCUCUUGUUUGCGAGCUUUUUGUGCAAACAAGUCUAACAGAACGUGCUAGUGAGCUUUUUCAUUCAUGUAUUGCAUCUUCCCCCUGAUUCAAACUAACAAAGAAAAAGUCCAACAAAUGCCAAGUACCCAGAUAUUACUGAUUUCAUUCAUGCAUUGCAUCUUCAGCCUGCUGGACCAAGUUUCAACCUUAAGCACAAGUACCAAUAAGUUUCCUAGAAAGCUCCUCCUCCACAUUAACAAUCGUAAGCCGAGCACUGGAUCCAGAUUCAUAAUGCUUCUUUUCUAUCAGCAGAGUUCCAUGCACCACCAACAACAAAUAUUGCAUUGUCUCCACCAGCUUCUUCUCACUACAUGGAUGCAGGUAAUGAGAAAACCCUCUCCCUUCUCAAGCAUUCCUCUGCCUUCAUCAUGUAACUGUCCUCCAAAAUCCAUCUUGAUGCCUCACGAGAAUUUUUUUUUUUUUUUGGGUUGAAGAUGCCUUACGAGAAUAGUACUCACAAGCAGUCACCCUUUAAAUAAAUAAAUAAAUUCAUUUCAACAUUAAUACGUGCAAGAUUUGGAAGAGUAAUUAAAAAAAAAGUUAUUAUUUUUUUAAAUUCACUACUAAAAACAGAAACUACAAUCCAUUUUGUAAUUCAUUUUGUAACCAAAACUGACCAAACAAAAAUUAACUCAACAAAAUUGAAAAGCAACAAAAAGACAAAAGCCAUGAUCAAAGUUACUAAAAUUAAGUCAAAUGAACAUAUAGCUUCAAAAUCAGAUGGACUUCUUCUUAAAAUCCAAUCAUCAUUGGGACUUAAAAAAUU